UUGACUUUAUCAAUAAUACAGUUUUUUCACAAAUUGAGAGUUUUAUUGUGAAAAACCCCGCCGGACGUAUUUUGUUCUCCUUGGCGAAACGCGUGACGCACAGAAGAGUAGCAGUGGACACAAACACAGACUUGUUCAGCUUUAGUUGCCACAGAGCAUCACCAAUCAUCCCUCUCAGAGUAUACACAGCACUGCAGUGGACAAACCAAGGAACACCGCAUGGAAACAAUUCAGCUUUGAUGUGAAUGAGUCCAAGCUACAGAGGCAGUUGCACAGCUAUUAGCUUGACUGAUCGUUGGGGUUGUCUGUCCAGUCUACAAGCAGUAGUCGAAACCUCUCCACCUCCAGCAUGAGUGAGCUAACAGACUUUGAAAAAGGCAAAAUAGUCGGCGCGCGUAUUGGAGGCAUGUCUGUGAGCGAAACUGCCGAGCUGUGUAACGUUUCAGCCCGAACAGUGAUGAAAGUCAUGAGUGCUUAUAAGAACUACGGAUUUACUGCAUCAGCACAGAAAAAAAAAACACGCAAGCCACAGAAAAAUACAGUUGCUAAUGGAAAAGCGGCCAGGGCGAAAGUGGUUCCUGAGUCUGAGGUCGAAACACAAAAUCCUGAUGAAGACAUGGACACGCCUGAACCCAAGACCCAAGAAGAUGAAUAACUUGGUCUGAUGAGCUGUACUUUGAUCCUUAUGUUACAUUUACACUUUUUCUGUUUUCAGAAAGCCACAGUAUGCCUUUUUUUUAACCAACACUUUUCCUGUCUGCUGAGAGAUUAUCUGUUAAAAAAAAAAAAAGAAAAAAAAAAAGAAUAUCAAUUACUUUAUUUAUAGUAAACUAAUUUUACUGUUUAGUUUAAAGAAAUUCGAAAUAGGAGUGGCCAAAAAUGAUCUUAAACUGUUUGCUGAUGUGGACUGGCUGUGUUGCAAACUCAUACUUUAUUUUUAUUUUUAUUUUUUUGAGCAAUAUUGCAUAUUUUUAACAAAUAAAUCUUAAAUUUAAAUCUUUUUGUGUAUUUUCUUUCUGUGUUAAUGACACUAUUUCAUUUCUCAAAUUGCACAUACUCUCUGAGAGGAGGCAACAGGCAGUUAGAAAAUUAGACGUCCUUCAAAGUUGUCGAUUAAAUAUCAUGGAGGAACAUUGUACAUAAAUUUUGUUAAAGCAUAACUGCUGACAACCUUCAGCAUGCUGUACUGAGAUUAAUUUGUGGGUCACCGGCAGGAGAGUGGAGGACAGAGGAGCAGACAUGAAUAGAACAAAUUACUUAAUUUGUUCUUGCUGAGGUGUCUCGGUCGUUCCUCUCCUAGCAGUAUUAGAAUGUGCACCCCAUGGUCCUGGCGCUUUUAUUCUGAAAAUCUAUGAGCGGAACUAGUUCCUUGCUUCCUUGUAAAACAACUGUACUCUGUACUCGUCGUACAGUGACAGAAGAGCAAGGAGGACACUACAUUUGACAGCUUGUCAGCAGCUGAUUGGUCCACUAACCAGGACAUCACUGCUUCAGCAUUCAAAAUCAUGGAAGCGCCAUGUGACAGUGGACGUUGGGGUACCUAAGUGACAGUGCUCCAACACAGUGGCUGGGUUUCCUGCUUGUUUGUCAGGUGACAGUGUCCAAACGAGAUAUUCACCACUUUAAAAGCAGUGUUCAAAUCAGUAUGAGUGACUUGACAGAGUUUGAAAGGUGCCAGAUUGUUGCUGCACGGCUGUCGGGUGCAUCUGUCACAAAAACGGCACAGCUGUUUAACGUGGCAAGGGGAACAGUGUCAAGAGUCAUGACUGUGUACAUCAAACAUGGACGAACAGCAUCAGCAAAAAAGAACAGCGGGCGCAAGUCAAAGCUCACUGAAAAGGACAGACAGACACUUCUCCAGAUAGUCGAUGAACACCCCGAGUACACCGCCUGUAAGAUAACCUCAGAGCUAAAUAGACACCUCUCUCAUACAGUCUCUGUAAAGACUGUACGGCGUGAGCUCCAUAAAGCUGGUGUCUUUCGAGGUGCAACAAAUCAGAAACCAGAGAUAGAAACUGAUUCCCCAAAGUUCAAUGGAAAGAACAGUGAGCCUUACAAAGAAUGUGAUGCACAGACUAUAUCUGAACCCCAGGGUGCUGUGCAAAGGUACAGCACAGAAGAAGCUGAACCCCAAAUCUGAACGUGAAAACGAUCACUACUCUCAAAGGUUUCAUGACAGGAAUAAAGAACCUGAACCUCAGACUAAUUAAAAGGAAUUACCUCAUCUGGUGGUAGAUUUCAGCCUUUUUUAUUAUGUCCAGACUGGUUCACUAGUAACUGUCCUCACUGUGUUACCUGUUGUUUUUCUGUAGGAAUUUGUUCUCAUGCAGCUUUUGUUCCUUUCCCAAGCCUUUAUUUCCCGAGUUUACCAGCAAACAUGGAACUUUGGUUUGGUUUGCUAAUAGGAUUCUCAGGUAUCCAGACAUCAUAACACUGUUUUAAUCAAAUGGUAAAACAGUAAAACUCUGAAAUAACAUAACCAAGGCAAAGCUAAUAGAAUACGUCAUACAUAUAUAUUGAAAAAGCAAGAGGCUUAAUGAUUAAUAUUUAAAAAGAAUCUCAUGUGUUGAAAAUUACAGUACUAAUGUAACUGCAGUGAUUUAGCUUGUUCUCUUCACGGCUGUGCGUGCGCUUUACACGGUGACGCAACAACAGACCCGGAAGUGCAGCGCCAACCACAAACACACCUGUGACAGCGCCGCUGUUACUCUGUGGAAGAGGGUUCACGUGUCCAACCGCGAGAGGUUUGACCUGUGUUUUCAUCCGUUUUCUCGGCGUCAGAGCGAAUAUGUUUGCAGUGUUUAUGUUUUUUAUGCAAAGAACAUUUUACACCUCAACAUGAACGUGUUGCGGUAGAAAGGUGUAAGGCUACAUUUAGCCAGGUUAGCUUUGCUUUCUUAGCUUUUGUAACUGAAGCUGUGCAAUAAUGACUGAUUGUUUUAUUUUUAAGGUGGACAGCAUUAGGCGGUUCAGUAAAACUCACUCGUUUUCCCGAGAAGAGCACAUGACUGAUUAAACCAUUUUUAGCUGUCCUGUUGCGUUUGUGUCCUGACUGAUUAGCUGUUAACCUGUUUCUUUUCGGGGGGGUUCUGGAAGUGCUGGAGGUGAACUGGUGUAGAGAACACUGGGGAUGAUUUUCAGGGGCCUGUACUACGAAGCAGAUUUUCGUCUAAUGCGGGUUUUCUGUACUGCCAAGGUGGUUCACUUCUCACGGAGGUACAUCACCAUGGUAACUGAUGUUGCAGACGAUGGACAUUACAUUAGUGAUCAACAGGGCCAAGAAGUAAAACCAGCCAUCUCCAUCUACAGUGCUGUGCAAAAGAUUUGACCCACCUUUUGUUUCUCUAUAUUUCGCUUCCCAAAGAGCCAGACUUGCUUGUAAUUUUUAAAGUUGUCUUGAGCAUCAAAUAUCCAGGCUUUCUGAAGGUCUUUCAAAGUUUUUCCUUUGGACAUUGGCUUCAUUGGAGCAUUCAAAAGACAUUUAACUCAAGGAAUGAAGCAGUGUUAUGUUAACAUGUAAUGGAAAUCAUAGCAAAGAACCAGUUUGAAAUGA